rnacentral:tRNA from 1 species
AGGAUUAUAGUUUAAUAAAACAUUUGAUUUGCAUUCAAAAAUUAUUGAAUUUUAUUUUCAAUUUAUCUUA